rnacentral:rRNA from 1 species
CAUGCUGUAAACGUUGGGCACUAGGUGUGGGGGCCGUCCUUGGUUUCUGCGCCGUAGCUAACGCUUUAAGUGCCCCGCCUGGGGAGUACGGCCGCAAGGCUAAAACUCAAAGGAAUUGACGGGGGCCCGCACAAGCGGCGGAGCAUGCGGAUUAAUUCGAUGCAACGCGAAGAACCUUACCAAGGCUUGACAUGCACCGCGACACUGCAGAGAUGUGGUGGCCUUCGGGGUGGUGUGCAGGUGG